UACGAGAGGCCCAAACGUUAUUCGGAAUUACUGGGCUUAAAGAGUUCGUAGGCGGCGCAGAAAGUAGGGUGUGAAAGCCCUCGGCUCAACCGAGGAAUUGCGCUCUAAACUACUGUGCUUGAGGAAUCUAGAGGUGAGCGGAACUGAUGGUGGAGCGGUGAAAUGCGUUGAUAUCAUCAGGAACACCGGAGGCGAAGGCGGCUCACUGGGGAUUUUCUGACGCUGAGGAACGAAAGCCAGGGGAGCAAACGGG
rnacentral:rRNA from 1 species